UCGCUUUUACCCCUGCCUGUCCAGAGUUUUACUGAAUUGGGCAAAGUUGUGUCUCUGUUGCGCCAUCUAGCCAUUUGUUUGGUUGCCACCACAUCGAUCUGCCGCCCAGUUUUCACAGUUGAUCGAUAGACACGGAGAGAGAGAGAGGGUUUAAUUGAUCCAUAGAAUUAAAGAGAGGGUGCGGAGUUUGCAUGUGGAUUGGAGAUUUGAGCAUUUUUGGCGCAGAGAUUUUGGUUGUUUCUUGCGAAGUUGGGUUUUGAUCAAGCAGCACAGAUAAUCAGUUCGGGGGUAAAUUCAGCUGUUAUUGCCGUUCGAGUUUGGCAUAUCUGCAUAUGGCUUACUCAACCGGUCUGAUAGAUGUAGAAAGGGUCGGGAUUAUCUUCCAAUGGAUAAACGAUAUCCUAGGCUCUUUAUACCCUCAGAAUUCUGCAAGGUUGUGGUAACUGGGAGUGUAGCUGCAGAUGGGAUAUGCAAGUUACCCUCAAAAGAGCACUGGUGGUAUAAGCAUUCACAGUGAGGAAGAGGAAAGGUGUAAAUGUAGGAUUGACUUGGUCAUCAAUGGCAACGAUGGCAUCAAAGUUGCGUCAGUUGCAGUCUAAGACUUGCCAAGCAACUCAAUUUGUGUCCCGAGCGGCCUAGCAUGGAACUACCUACUACAAGCAGUUGUUAGAGCAGAACAAGCAAUACAUUCAAGAGCCAGAAAUUGUGGAGAAACGCAUCGAGCUGAGCGAUUGUUUUAUACUCAACUUGAUAGUGAAACUAUCACCUAGCAGAAUAGUUCAAUCAUAUUCAAUUCGAUGGAAUUGUUUGAUUAAGUUCACUUUCAAUUUGAUGACCAAACACAUCAUGAGCUUGGAUCCUAGAGCACCAUAGACGACUGAAGGGUGUGGUCCAUUGAAUUUACCAGGAACAACUUAUAGAAAAGCCUUACAGUCUCGAUCAACCAUUCUGAAGUUCAUUGGGCGCAAAAUGGAAGAGAGGGUGAAGGAUGGAACUGAAAACAUCUUGGAGUGGUUUUGAAGCAUUCAAAUCUUUCAAAGGAGCAAAUUCUUGACUUGAUAUUGACCUUGCUCUUUGCCGGUCGUCAAACUAAUUCAGUAUCCAUAGCUUAGACAUAUAUUUCUUGCCUGGCUGUCCUAAUGCAAUUGAAGACUUGAGGGAAGAGCACAUUGAAAUUGCCAAAGCCACAAGAAAGUAGGAGAGACAGAGUUGUGCUCAUCUGAGGAAGAGCUUGAUGCUCGAAUCAAAGGCUUGCAGUAUGUCAUACAAAAUGAGACGAUGAGAGCAUUCCGUUUAGAAAAUCCUUAGAGAUCAAACUUAUAAACACACGUGGAGAAGUCAUUGCAAAUGCAGCUGUACAAGCCAAGAUUCAGGAAUCAGUGGUUCAUAUAGACAAAGAGGCCCUUAAUUACUCUUUAUCUUUUUGUUGUACUUUUUUUUUUCAAUAAGUUUUUAAGCUAACGGCAAAAACAACCAAGUCCUUACCGUAAAUCCAGAGGUUGGAUACUCAAUGAAAAAAAAAAAAAAAAAAAAAAAAAAACCUGCAGCAUCGCGCGGGCAACAUUACUAGUUACUUCAAAACGCCUACAAAUGCUUUUUCUUUUUGUUAGGUCCAUUUAAGCCAUGCAAUUUUGACUAUAGUUCCAUGCACGCCAUGUGACAUCCACAUACAUCUAUAUGACUAUUGAAACAGAACCACUGGUAGUGCUUAUGCAAUGAAUGCCUAAUUUCAACACUAUUUAUACCACAUUAGAUUUUGUUCUAAUGCAAACACAUCAUCUGCUAUUGUUCGAUUUCUAGCUAUUUAGCUGCGACAGAGUACAAAAAUGGUCUUCAGAAGUCAGAACUCUGCUCUUCCUCUUCUUUGCCAGUCUCUUAGUUACUACAAAGGUUUCAGGAUAAGUUUGAGAACGAAAAGGCCAAGAAGCUGAAGGUACAUUUUCAUGUAUAUGAUCGUAUAUAACUUUAAAUUAGGGUUGGUGAUACUACAUGAGUUACUCGGAGGCGAGGCUUGGGGAUUCCUAGUAUCAUGUGUUCUCUGAUUUUGAAGGGCGGCAGUCCGAGGCGGUGGUUCAGAGUGGUUGAUUGGGUGGUUAUUGAGCGGUCACUGUGAUUCACCUGUGCUGGUGUAAUAGGUGCAGGUUUGUGGUCUCGGUGGGUUUGGCAGAAUGGCAAGGACAAAAUUGGAUUACUGUUGUUGAUUUGGAUCUGGCCUAAAUUUCCGGUGCUCGCUGUUCAUGGUCUAAUGUCGACUCUUUCAUGAAGAGAGGUGGUUCGCGACCGCUUCUCUUUUUAUGGUUUAAUUUUGGUUUUUAAGUUUUGUUUAGGGUUCAUAAGUCCCUACUCUUUAGAGCUAGGGUUAUUUGGUUAAUUAGGUCUAGUGGUUGUGCCAUUGUUAUGGUGUCAUCUCCAGGGACUAGUUGUUUUUCUAAUUUCGAUGUUUUCUUGUUGUCAAUGUAAUGGGGAGAUGCCUCUACAAGUAUACUGGUGGUUUUAGUAUAUGGUGUCGGACGGAGCUACUUUCUUCUUGAGGUUGGCUGUAAGGAUGUAUCAACACUUCUAGGGUAGGUUGUUUGUCUGUAGGUUACAGUUGAGCCUUUAUCGGUUCAUGGUGUCUAUAAUCGAUGGUUCUAUAUUCGGGGUAUGAGUGAGUCCUCUCCUUUACUUGGAGUAGUUGGGAUUUACAGUGUCAUUCCCAUUUUUGUAAUUUGUUGGAUUAAUAAAUUGUC